CCUAGCUGUAGCCAACUGCCUAGGUUACCUUGUACCUAGGCAAGAGUUCUACUGCUGGGAAAAAAACAGCCAAUAACUGAUGGGCAUUCUGGGCCUGGUUAAUGCUAAAUUUGUGUUAACUGUACCAGUAUGUCCACAUA
rnacentral:snoRNA from 1 species